AUUGAACGCUGGCGGCAGGCUUAACACAUGCAAGUCGAACGGGAGGCGGACGGGUGGGCAAGGCAUGGGAAUGUAGGUGAUGGAGGGGGAUAAGUACGGGAAACUGUAGCUAAAACCGCUUACCAUAGGAUGGGCCGAAGUGGGAUUAGGUAGUUGGUGAGGUAAAGGCUCACCAAGACGACGAUCUCUAGCUGGUCUGAGAGGAUGACCAGCCACACUGGGACUGAGACACGGCCCAGACUCCUACGGGAGGCAGCAGUGGGGAAUAUUGGGCAAUGGGCGAAAGCUGACGCAGCCAUGCCGCGUGAGUGAAGAAGGUCUUCGGGUUGUAAAGUUCUUUCGGUAGCGAGGCGUUAACUACAGAAGAAGCACCGGCUAACUCCGUGCCAGCAGCCGCGGUAAUUC
rnacentral:rRNA from 1 species